rnacentral:misc_RNA from 1 species
UGCCCCCUCCUCUCUCUCCUCAUUUCUCUCUCCUCCUCCCUUUUAACAUGAGAGAGAUCCUCCACAUCCAGGCCGGCCAGUGCGGCAACCAGAUCGGCGGCAAGUUCUGGGAGGUCGUCUGCGACGAGCACGGCAUAGACACCAAAGGCAACUACGUCGGCAACUCCCACCUCCAGCUCGAGAGGGUCAACGUCUAUUACAAUGAGGCCAGCGGGGGGCGGUACGUCCCCCGCGCUGUCCUCAUGGACCUCGAGCCCGGUACGAUGGACAGCCUCCGCACCGGUCCCUACGGCCAGAUCUUCCGGCCAGAUAACUUCGUGUUUGGCCAGAACGGUGCUGGCAACAACUGGGCCAAGGGUCACUACACCGAGGGAGCAGAGCUUAUCGACUCCGUCCUCGAUGUCGUCCGCAAAGAGGCAGAGAAUUGCGAUUGCUUGCAAGGAUUCCAGAUCUGCCACUCUCUGGGGGGAGGAACCGG